rnacentral:rRNA from 1 species
UUGUCUCAAAGAUUAGCCAUGCAUGUCUCAGUACAAGCCAAAUUAAGGUGAAACCGCGAAAGGCUCAUUAAAUCAGUUAUGGUUCCUUAGAUCGUACUCACAUUUACUUGGAUAACUGUGGUAAUUCUAGAGCUAAUACAUGCAAACAGAACUCCAACCGGAGACGGAAGNGAGUGCUUUUAUUAGAUCAAAACCAAUCGGUGGCAAUUUUGUCAUCGUACAACUUGGUGACUCUGAAUAACUUUAUGCUGAUCGCACGGUCUUGCACCGGCGACGCAUCUUUCAAAUGUCUGCCUUAUCAACUGUCGAUGGUAGGUUCUGCGCCUACCAUGGUUGUAACGGGUAACGGGGAAUCAGGGUUCGAUUCCGGAGAGGGAGCCUGAGAAACGGCUACCACAUCCAAGGAAGGCAGCAGGCGCGCAAAUUACCCACUCCCGGCACGGGGAGGUAGUGACGAAAAAUAACGAUACGGGACUCAUCCGAGGCCCCGUAAUCGGAAUGAGUACACUCUAAACCCUUUAACGAGGAUCAAUUGGAGGGCAAGUCUGGUGCCAGCAGCCGCGGUAAUUCCAGCUCCAAUAGCGUAUAUUAAAGUUGUUGCGGUUAAAAAGCUCGUAGUCGAAUCUGUGUUCCGCGCCGCCGGUUCAUCGUUCGCGGUGUCAACUGGCGUGUCGCGGAACGUCCUGCCGGUGGGCUUAGCUCGCAAGGGCGGCCCAACUCAAUCCCGCCGCGGUGCUCUUCAUUGAGUGUCGAGGUGGGCCGGCACGUUUACUUUGAACAAAUUAGAGUGCUUAAAGCAGGCUAAAAUUUUGCCUGAAUACUGUGUGCAUGGAAUAAUGGAAUAGGACCUCGGUUCUAUUUUGUUGGUUUUCGGAACCCCGAGGUAAUGAUUAAUAGGAACGGAUGGGGGCAUUCGUAUGCGACGUUAGAGGUGAAAUUCUUUGGAUCGUCGCAAGACGGACAG